rnacentral:rRNA from 1 species
UUAAGCGACUAAGCGUACACGGUGGAUGCCCUGGCAGUCAGAGGCGAUGAAGGACGUGCUAAUCUGCGAAAAGCGUCGGUAAGGUGAUAUGAACCGUUANCCGGCGAUGUCCGAAUGGGGAAACCCAGUGCAAUUCGUUGCACUAUCGUUAACUGAAUACAUAGGUUAACGAGGCGAACCGGGGGAACUGAAACAUCUAAGUACCCCGAGGAAAAGAAAUCAACCGAGAUUCCCCCAGUAGCGGCGAGCGAACGGGGAGCAGCCCAGAGUCUGAAUCAGCUUGUGUGUUAGUGGAACGGUCUGGAAAGUCCGACGGUACAGGGUGAUAGUCCCGUACACCAAAAUGCACAGGCUGUGAACUCGAAGAGUAGGGCGGGACACGUGGUAUCCUGUCUGAAUAUGGGGGGACCAUCCUCCAAGGCUAAAUACUCCUGACUGACCGAUAGUGAACCAGUACCGUGAGGGAAAGGCGAAAAGAACCCCGGCGAGGGGAGUGAAAAAGAACCUGAAACCGUGUACGUACAAGCAGUGGGAGCACCUUCGGGUGUGACUGCGUACCUUUUGUAUAAUGGGUCAGCGACUUAUAUUCUGUAGCAAGGUUAACCGUAUAGGGGAGCCGCAGGGAAACCGAGUCUUAACUGGGCGUUAAGUUGCAGGGUAUAGACCCGAAACCCGGUGAUCUAGCCAUGGGCAGGUUGAAGGUUGGGUAACACUAACUGGAGGACCGAACCGACUAAUGUUGAAAAAUUAGCGGAUGACUUGUGGCUGGGGGUGAAAGGCCAAUCAAACCGGGAGAUAGCUGGUUCUCCCCGAAAGCUAUUUAGGUAGCGCCUCGUGAAUUCAUCUUCGGGGGUAGAGCACUGUUUCGGCUAGGGGGUCAUCCCGACUUACCAACCCGAUGCAAACUACGAAUACCGAAGAAUGUUAUCACGGGAGACACACGGCGGGUGCUAACGUCCGUCGUGAAGAGGGAAACAACCCAGACCGCCAGCUAAGGUCCCAAAGUCAUGGUUAAGUGGGAAACGAUGUGGGAAGGCACAGACAGCCAGGAUGUUGGCUUAGAAGCAGCCAUCAUUUAAAGAAAGCGUAAUAGCUCACUGGUCGAGUCGGCCUGCGCGGAAGAUGUAACGGGGCUAAACCAUGCACCGAAGCUGCGGCAGCGACACUAUGUGUUGUUGGGUAGGGGAGCGUUCUGUAAGCCUGCGAAGGUGUGCUGUGAGGCAUGCUGGAGGUAUCAGAAGUGCGAAUGCUGACAUAAGUAACGAUAAAGCGGGUGAAAAGCCCGCUCGCCGGAAGACCAAGGGUUCCUGUCCAACGUUAAUCGGGGCAGGGUGAGUCGACCCCUAAGGCGAGGCCGAAAGGCGUAGUCGAUGGGAAACAGGUUAAUAUUCCUGUACUUGGUGUUACUGCGAAGGGGGGACGGAGAAGGCUAUGUUAGCCGGGCGACGGUUGUCCCGGUUUAAGCAUGUAGGCUGGUUGUCCAGGCAAAUCCGGAUAAUCAAGGCUGAGGUGUGAUGACGAGGCACUACGGUGCUGAAGUAACAAAUGCCCUGCUUCCAGGAAAAGCCUCUAAGCAUCAGGUAACAUCAAAUCGUACCCCAAACCGACACAGGUGGUCAGGUAGAGAAUACCAAGGCGCUUGAGAGAACUCGGGUGAAGGAACUAGGCAAAAUGGUGCCGUAACUUCGGGAGAAGGCACGCUGGUGUGUAGGUGAAGUCCCUGCGGAUGGAGCUGAGACCAGUCGAAGAUACCAGCUGGCUGCAACUGUUUAUUAAAAACACAGCACUGUGCAAACACGAAAGUGGACGUAUACGGUGUGACGCCUGCCCGGUGCCGGAAGGUUAAUUGAUGGGGUUAUCCGUAAGGAGAAGCUCUUGAUCGAAGCCCCGGUAAACGGCGGCCGUAACUAUAACGGUCCUAAGGUAGCGAAAUUCCUUGUCGGGUAAGUUCCGACCUGCACGAAUGGCGUAAUGAUGGCCAGGCUGUCUCCACCCGAGACUCAGUGAAAUUGAACUCGCUGUGAAGAUGCAGUGUACCCGCGGCAAGACGGAAAGACCCCGUGAACCUUUACUAUAGCUUGACACUGAACAUUGAGCCUUGAUGUGUAGGAUAGGUGGGAGGCUUUGAAGCGUGGACGCCAGUCUGCGUGGAGCCAACCUUGAAAUACCACCCUUUAAUGUUUGAUGUUCUAACGUUGGCCCCUGACCGGGGUUGCGGACAGUGUCUGGUGGGUAGUUUGACUGGGGCGGUCUCCUCCCAAAGCGUAACGGAGGAGCACGAAGGUUAGCUAAUCCUGGUCGGACAUCAGGAGGUUAGUGCAAUGGCAUAAGCUAGCUUGACUGCGAGCGUGACGGCGCGAGCAGGUGCGAAAGCAGGUCAUAGUGAUCCGGUGGUUCUGAAUGGAAGGGCCAUCGCUCAACGGAUAAAAGGUACUCCGGGGAUAACAGGCUGAUACCGCCCAAGAGUUCAUAUCGACGGCGGUGUUUGGCACCUCGAUGUCGGCUCAUCACAUCCUGGGGCUGAAGUAGGUCCCAAGGGUAUGGCUGUUCGCCAUUUAAAGUGGUACGCGAGCUGGGUUUAGAACGUCGUGAGACAGUUCGGUCCCUAUCUGCCGUGGGCGCUGGAGAAUUGAGGGGGGCUGCUCCUAGUACGAGAGGACCGGAGUGGACGCAUCACUGGUGUUCGGGUUGUCAUGCCAAUGGCACUGCCCGGUAGCUAAAUGCGGAAGAGAUAAGUGCUGAAAGCAUCUAAGCACGAAACUUGCCCCGAGAUGAGUUCUCCCUGAGACUUUAAGUCUCCUGAAGGAACGUUGAAGACGACGACGUUGAUAGGCCGGGUGUGUAAGCGCAGCGAUGCGUUGAGCUAACCGGUACUAAUGAACCGUGAGGCUUAACCUU